rnacentral:hammerhead_ribozyme from 1 species
AUUCGGCAGACGAGUGCCAAAUAGGAUGAAAUGCUCGUCCUGGAU